GAUGAACGCUGGCGGCGUGCCUAAUACAUGCAAGUCGAGCGAACGGACGAGAAGCUUGCUUCUCUGAUGUUAGCGGCGGACGGGUGAGUAACACGUGGAUAACCUACCUAUAAGACUGGGAUAACUUCGGGAAACCGGAGCUAAUACCGGAUAAUAUUUUGAACCGCAUGGUUCAAAAGUAAAAGACGGUCUUGCUGUCACUUAUAGAUGGAUCCGCGCUGCAUUAGCUAGUUGGUAAGGUAACGGCUUACCAAGGCAACGAUGCAUAGCCGACCUGAGAGGGUGAUCGGCCACACUGGAACUGAGACACGGUCCAGACUCCUACGGGAGGCAGCAGUAGGGAAUCUUCCGCAAUGGGCGAAAGCCUGACGGAGCAACGCCGCGUGAGUGAUGGAGGUCUUCGGAUCGUAAAACUCUGUUAUUAGGGAAGAAUAUAUGUGUAAGUAACUGUGCACAUCUUGACGGUACCUAAUCAGAAAGCCACGGCUAACUACGUGCCAGCAGCCGCGGUAAUACGUAGGUGGCAAGCGUUAUCCGGAAUUAUUGGGCGUAAAGCGCGCGUAGGCGGUUUUUUAAGUCUGAUGUGAAAGCCCACGGCUCAACCGUGGAGGGUCAUUGGAAACUGGAAAACUUGAGUGCAGAAGAGGAAAGUGGAAUUCCAUGUGUAGCGGUGAAAUGCGCAGAGAUAUGGAGGAACACCAGUGGCGAAGGCGACUUUCUGGUCUGUAACUGACGCUGAUGUGCGAAAGCGUGGGGAUCAAACAGGAUUAGAUACCCUGGUAGUCCACGCCGUAAACGAUGAGUGCUAAGUGUUAGGGGGUUUCCGCCCCUUAGUGCUGCAGCUAACGCAUUAAGCACUCCGCCUGGGGAGUACGACCGCAAGGUUGAAACUCAAAGGAAUUGACGGGGACCCGCACAAGCGGUGGAGCAUGUGGUUUAAUUCGAAGCAACGCGAAGAACCUUACCAAAUCUUGACAUCCUUUGACAACUCUAGAGAUAGAGCCUUCCCCUUCGGGGGACAAAGUGACAGGUGGUGCAUGGUUGUCGUCAGCUCGUGUCGUGAGAUGUUGGGUUAAGUCCCGCAACGAGCGCAACCCUUAAGCUUAGUUGCCAUCAUUAAGUUGGGCACUCUAAGUUGACUGCCGGUGACAAACCGGAGGAAGGUGGGGAUGACGUCAAAUCAUCAUGCCCCUUAUGAUUUGGGCUACACACGUGCUACAAUGGACAAUACAAAGGGCAGCGAAGCCGCGAGGUCAAGCAAAUCCCAUAAAGUUGUUCUCAGUUCGGAUUGUAGUCUGCAACUCGACUACAUGAAGCUGGAAUCGCUAGUAAUCGUAGAUCAGCAUGCUACGGUGAAUACGUUCCCGGGUCU
rnacentral:rRNA from 1 species